UUAUUUAGGAUAUUUUUACUUUUCUUACCGUAGAUAUUACUUUUACUUUUAUUUCUUAUCUCUAUUAAAUAAAUAAUUGUAAUAAAUAACUUACACAGGUAAAAUGAAAAAACUAAACGGCUGCACUUGCGUGGACUUUCUUCGAAGUAUGCCUAAUGAACGUCCAGUAUGUUUUGAACCUGUUCGCGGUUCUUAUUCAUGAAUUUGUUCGUGUAGCGCGUAACAAACACACUUAGUUAAUUCGAAAGUAUUCACGCUUACUUCGGAGAAACCCAUUUCAGCUGUCAAAUUAUUUGAAUGUAGGAUUUGUGUAAAAUUGAAUGUAGUAUAUUAAAUAAAGCCGGGAAAUAUCCCAAGCGUAACUCCCCAUUGUAGCGAAGGGGUUUGUGUCAGAAUCCUGAGUGUAGCGAUGGGUUCAGGGGCGCCGAAAAUAAAUACAGCAAUAACCCCGCGAAUAAUUUUAAUAACACCCCAAUAUAAAAUACGUAGUGUACGUUUAGUGACGUUUGCCAACACUCAGAAGAAGCAAAGAACAGAUCAGACAAUUAUCAAUAGAGUACGCUUGGAGGUAAAUCUUUUGCUUACAACGGGAGUAAGUCUGGGACGACCCACUAGCAAUAUUAGAAUGGUAUUUAUUCGUGUAUUUUAUCUGUAUAUUUAGUUAUUUUUAAAGUAGGUAUUGUAUUUUCGCACAACAAAACUAAUAUUAAUAUAACUUUAUGGUCUUUGUAAAGUUUUCAAGGACUCAUAAAGUUUGAACGUUCACAAAUACUUCAAAUGAUAUAAAUGCUGUUAAAAGUAAGAUUUAUUUAUUUGAAAAUUUGUUAACUUUCUUUACUACGCCGCGCCGGAAGGGAAAUAUUUUUAUAAUCUGUUUAACAACUGCCAUUCUAUUAUUUUUAAUAAAUAAAACUUUUGAAAUAAUAUAAAGAAGCGUAGCAUGUUUCAAAUGAACUAAUUGUUAAGAAGUAGCAUUACAUGAAAUUGGUUUUUUAUCGAUUUAUUUGUGCCAUAAACCGAAUUUGUUAUUUAAUUAUUUAGUAAUAAAAUGUGUUCAAUUUUAAA